GAGUAAUGCCUAGGAAAUUGCCCUGAUGUGGGGGAUAACCAUUGGAAACGAUGGCUAAUACCGCAUGAUGCCUACGGGCCAAAGAGGGGGACCUUCGGGCCUCUCGCGUCAGGAUAUGCCUAGGUGGGAUUAGCUAGUUGGUGAGGUAAGGGCUCACCAAGGCGACGAUCCCUAGCUGGUCUGAGAGGAUGAUCAGCCACACUGGAACUGAGACACGGUCCAGACUCCUACGGGAGGCAGCAGUGGGGAAUAUUGCACAAUGGGCGCAAGCCUGAUGCAGCCAUGCCGCGUGUGU
rnacentral:rRNA from 1 species